rnacentral:rRNA from 1 species
UUGACCUCGGAUCAGGUAGGAAUACCCGCUGAACUUAAGCAUAUCAUAAGCGGAGGAAGG